rnacentral:rRNA from 1 species
AUUGAACGCUGGCGGCAGGCCUAACACAUGCAAGUCGAGCGAGCGGCGGACGGGUGAGUAAUGUCUGGGAAACUGCCUGAUGGAGGGGGAUAACUACUGGAAACGGUAGCUAAUAACGCAUACCAUCAGAUGUGCCCAGGUGUGAUGAGCUGGUAGGUGGGGUAACGGCUCACCUAGGCGACCAUCCCUAGCUGGUCUGAGAGGAUGACCAGCCACACUGGAACGUAGACACGGUCAAGACUCCUACGGUAGGCAGCAGUGGGGAAUAUUGCACAAUGGGCGCAAGCCUGAUGCAACCAUGCCGCGGGUGUGAAGAAGGCCUUCGGGUUGUAAAGCACUUUCAGCGGGGAGGCGUUACCCGCAGAAGAAGCACCGGCUAACUCCGUGCCAGCAGCCGCGGUAAUUC